rnacentral:lncRNA from 12 species
ACCCGUGUAAAUCCCGCCCGUCCCCGCCCCGCGCCCUCAGCCUUUGAUGAGCGAGGGGCCUCUGAACAUAGAGACGCUCCUAAUCUCCCCGGGGAUACACGGUGUUAUUAAUGCAGGCGCUGGAAGGAAAUGUUCCGUCUCGUCAGCGGGGAAAGUGAACUGGAGGUGCCAAAGCUCUCUUCUGCGUGGUUUUGCUGAAUUAGCAUCUCCUUUCUGCCUUACUGCAAUCAUCCUCACUUGGCGGAUGAGGAAACCGGACCGUCGCAAAGUCAGGAUGUUCACCUGGACUCCUUCCAGGCAGUAACUUACGGGCGACGGCUUGAAGAUAUGCAAAGAGAGGUCUCUGCAAUGAUUUUGCACCCAUCAUUAGGUGCAGAGGUUGAAAUUCAACUCUCCAAGUCAGCCAUUAGGUUAGUACUCUGUUCUGAUGCAGGAUUUUCAUUCACAGUCUCCAGCCCCUGCCCCCGCGUGUGAGCCCGUGCUCCUGCUCACUCUCCAGCGUGACACUGGACACUGGGAGGACCCUGGGGGUCAUGCAGCAGGGGCUGGGCACGGAGGGCCAGACUCCAGGACAACCUCCAUGCCUCUCAGCUGUGCACCUGCCCCACACUCCCAGGAAAGAGCAGUUAGUCAUGGAGACACCGGCUUCUGACCUGCUGCCCUCUGGCAGGGGUGCAGUUUCUUCCUUCAUCAAAAUACACUGAUAAUCAAUACUAACCACUGACCUUCUGUGCCUUUGCAUAUAGUUACUACUACUCAUUGAAUCCUCACAAUGUCCUCCGAGGAGGUCUUACUAUUCCCGUUCUGCAGAUGGGGAACCUGACACAGGGCUCAUGCUCACGCAGAAUUUAGAAACUGAGCAAAGAUUGUGAAAGAAACAAAAGCUGUUCAUUGGUUCCCAGCCUGGUAAAAAUCAUCCAUCACCAUUCCACAAACCCUGUUACCAGGCCCCAGGCUGGGUGCAGACAUUACAGUAGGGCACAAAGCCCUGGAAACCAGUUGUUGCGAACAGUGUGACGAAUGAUACACAAGAAAUACAGACUUUGGGAGCCCAGAAUAUGGGAAAGUCUGAGAAGUCUUCCUGGAGGAGGUGACACUAGGCAGAGGGAGGCAUUUUCCAAAGUGAGAAUGGCAGGUGCCAGGGCCCCAUGCAUGUAUGAGAGUUGUGUCACCUUGGAGAGGCACCAGGAGGUAGAGAGUGGCAGGUGUCACAGAGGAAGGGCACGGGGCUUAGGUUUGGGAUGAUAUUACAGACCAGCAAACCUGUAAAUCUGCUGGCAUGGCAAGAGGCCUGGAGAAGGUGAGCGAGGGCCUGGCUUUUUAAAAUUAUCUUAUUCAGAAUUUUUAAUAGGUUCAAGGUUCAAAAAACCUAAAAGGUAUGUAGUAAAAAGACUCCUCCAACACCAUCCGGCUGCCCAGGACCCCUCCCCAAAGUCAGCCAUUCUCGGGAGUUUCCUAUCUGUCCUUCCAGAGAUAUGUUACUUCGUGCUUAUAUAAACUAAUCUUUCUCCCUCCCUCUCUCUUUAUCUCUCUUUACAUUUUUUAACCCCAAAGAUAGCACACUCUCUAUGCAUCUCUGCACCUUGAUUUUUUUUUUUCCACCAUAAGAACAUAUCUUGGCAAUCUUUCCUAGGUUCGCAUAGCUGUGUCAUGCUGCACAGUUAAGAAGCAUUGUGCUUUAUUUUUACCAGCCCCUGUUGAUGGACAUUUUGUGUUUUUUUUUCUGAUCUUUAGCUUGUACGAUAAAUGUUGCAAUGAAUAAUCUUGUACGGUUGUAAUAUCCUCCGUGUGCAAAUACAUCUACAGAGGAAGAAUUGCCAGCAGUAGAAUCGCCGAGGCAAAGGAUAUAUAAAUUUUGUUUGCAGUAGAAAAAUUUUAUUGAAGCUUAACUUGCAAAAAGGAAUGCGUACAGCUCAGUAAGUUUUGCAUGUGCGUAACACCCAUGUAAGCACCGCCCAGAUCAAGGGACAGGUCACUAUGGAAACUACUGCCUUGUCUUGGUUGACCCCCACUCGCUUAGGUAGUUUACUAAUCCGGUCUCUAUCACAAGGAUUGCCUUUGCCCGUUUCUGAGUCUUGUAUAAAGGAAUCAUAAAGAAUGUGGUCUCGGGCCACGUCCAUUGGGUUGUAUGACGAAGAGUGGACUCGGUGUGCACAUUCUCAAUGUUGGUGCAUGUUGCUAAGUUGCAUCCCCUCCCCUCCCCUCCCACCGCCAGUGUGAGGGAGUGACUGGUUCCUUGUGCCCAGAUAAGCAUUCUGCUUAGCACAGUGCCCAGCACAGCGACAACACUCAAAACCAAGCAAACCCAACUCCAGAAAUCACAAGAAAAUGCUUUGUGAGUCCUAAAGCCUCACUCUGAACAAAGGGAUUGUAAUUUUGCUAAUGUGCCUCCCUAGAAGGAUCAGGUAAGAGCGAGGAGGCCUCAGGAACCCCAUUUCCACCCCCAGAGAAACCUUUGUAACGAACAAUAAUAACCCUGCUGUUCGUGUAGUCCUGGCCUUUCUAAAGCACUUUGACAAGCACCAGUGGUUCUCAGCCUGGCUCACAUUAGGAUCCUCUGGGGAACUUUCCAGAAAUACCAAUGCCAGGGCCCCACCUCCACGAUUCUUAUUUAAUUAUUCUAGGGUGGAUCAUAGCCAUGAGUAUUUUAUAAGCUCCCCAGAGAAUUCUAGUAUGAAGCCAGGGCCAGGAACCAUCGAGGACACUGUUUUGUACCACGGUAUAAAGGAGGAGACACCCAAUGAUGCAGAGGGGUGUGUGGGGGGGUGCAUUUCCCCCAUGUCAGGAACAGCACCAGAGCUAGGGUUUGGAUAAGGAAAUAGGCUGAGGGGGGUGAGCGCCCCCAUGGCCACGCAGCUGCUCAGUGGCAGCGCUGGAUCCAGAACACAGGGCAUCCCACUCUGGACUCGGCACCCCCACUCGCGGCUCCUCCAGCUUCUGACCUCCAGUAUGCCUAGAAAACAAGCCUAGAAGAAAGCAUAUCGAAGUGUUAACAGCUGGUAUCUUCAGCUGAUGUGAUCAUGGGUAAUGGUUCCUUCCAGAUGCUCUUCUGCUUUUAUCAAGUUUUUAUCAGUGAGCAUGUAUUAUGUUUACUAUCGCAAGUAAAUAAAAGUCCUUUCAAGUUGUCA